ACUGUACAAUGAUGAGUUGCAUCAUGCAAUACCCAAAUAUUCUUAGGAAGAGCCGGAAAAGGCAUGGCGAGGUCGUCAAACCUGGCCGUCGAUGCUUAGAAAUG
rnacentral:snoRNA from 1 species